GACGAACGCUGGCGGCGUGCUUAACACAUGCAAGUCGAACGAAGCACUUUGGAAGCUUGCUUUUAGAGUGACUGAGUGGCGGACGGGUGAGUAACGCGUGGGUAACCUGCCUUAUACAGGGGGAUAACAGUUGGAAACGACUGCUAAUACCGCAUAAGCGCACAGUGCCGCAUGGCACAGUGUGAAAAACUCCGGUGGUAUAAGAUGGACCCGCGUCUGAUUAGCUAGUUGGUGAGGUAACGGCUCACCAAGGCGACGAUCAGUAGCCGGCUUGAGAGAGUGAUCGGCCACAUUGGGACUGAGACACGGCCCAAACUCCUACGGGAGGCAGCAGUGGGGAAUAUUGCACAAUGGGGGAAACCCUGAUGCAGCAACGCCGCGUGAGUGAAGAAGUAUUUCGGUAUGUAAAGCUCUAUCAGCAGGGAAGAUAAUGACGGUACCUGACUAAGAAGCCCCGGCUAACUACGUGCCAGCCGCCGCAGUAA
rnacentral:rRNA from 1 species